AUGUAGGCCAAGUUGUUUGCUUAAAAUUUAGUCUUUCUGCCUGUUCUUAGAUCUCCUACUUGUACAAUCAAAGCAGUCUGAAUCCAUCAUUUUGUAGGAAGCUGGUUCUUCUCAGGGUGCUCCUGCCCAGUGAUGCUAUCAAGUGUUUUCCCAGAGGGGGAGGAGUCAAGAUGGCCACUUAGAAGCAGCUAAGUCCAGACAUCUGUGAAAAUCCUUCCACAUCCAUCAAAAACAAAAUGCUUCGAUCAAAUCUAACAAUAGGACAGAGCUGGGGGACCCUCCACUUCAAUUCAACUUAUAAGUCUUUGAGGGAUGCUGCUAUUGCUGAUGCCGAUUCUUCAAAAAAGUUUGUGAGUCAGACAGGUGUUAUUGGCAAUUGGAGCCAAUAUUCAUGCCACAGCACCUACUCUCUAAAGACAUUUUACAAAAGACAAAAGCAGUCAUUACCUUGAGUAUCUCAUUUAAUGGUUUCAUACCUUCUGGGGACAGGAGAUAAAUGAAGGAGACAAGCAAUUUGAUUUUGAUUAUAACAUGUGAGGCCAUGCAAAACAUAUUUACAAGCUAAUCAAGUUGCAAAAGAAAACACAAAGUAAAACAAUAAAAAUAAAGUUAAAAAAAAAGCA
rnacentral:lncRNA from 1 species